rnacentral:misc_RNA from 1 species
GAUGAAGAACGUAGCAAAAUGCGAUAAGUAAUGUGAAUUGCAGAAUUCAGUGAGUCAUCGAAUCUUUGAACGCACAUUGCGCCCGCCAGUAUUCUGGCGGGCAUGCCUGUUCGAGCGUCAUUUCAACCCUCAAGCCCUCGGGUUUGGUGUUGGGGAUCGGCGAGCCUUUCUGGCAAGCCGGCCCCGAAAUCUAGUGGCGGUCUCGCUGCAGCCUCCAUUGCGUAGUAGUAAAACCCUCGCAACUGGAACGCGGCGCGGCCAAGCCGUUAAACCCCCAACUUCUGAAUGUUGACCUCGGAUCAGGUAGGAAUACCCGCUGAACUUAAGCAUAUCAAUAAGCGGAGGA